UGACUGACAUCGAGCCAACGGGGCUCUA
rnacentral:sRNA from 1 species